UGACCCAUGGUGUAAUGGUAACACAGCAGAUUUUGAUUCUGCCUUUUAAGGUUCGAAUCCUUAUGGGUCAA
rnacentral:tRNA from 2 species